UUCUCAGGAUGAACGCUAGCGGCAGGCCUAACACAUGCAAGUCGAGGGGUAACAGGAAAGCUUGCUUUUGCUGACGACCGGCGCACGGGUGCGUAACGCGUAUGCAACCUACCUCAUACAGGAGAAUAGCCCUUGGAAACGAGGAUUAAUACUCCAUGGUAUCAUUUUUUCGCAUGUUAAAAUGAUUAAAGAAUUUCGGUAUGAGAUGGGCAUGCGUCCCAUUAGCUAGUUGGUGAGGUAACGGCUCACCAAGGCGACGAUGGGUAGGGGGCCUGAGAGGGUGGUCCCCCACACUGGUACUGAGACACGGACCAGACUCCUACGGGAGGCAGCAGUGAGGAAUAUUGGUCAAUGGAGGCAACUCUGAACCAGCCAUGCCGCGUGAAGGAUGACGGCCCUAUGGGUUGUAAACUUCUUUUAUAUGGGAAGAAACUUAUCUACGUGUAGAUAACUGACGGUACCAUACGAAUAAGGAUCGGCUAACUCCGUG
rnacentral:rRNA from 1 species